GUUUUAAUAGUUUAAUAAAAAUAUUGAUCUUGUAAAUCAAAGAAAGUAGUAAUCUUUAAAACU
rnacentral:tRNA from 1 species